CGGGGAAUAUUGGACAAUGGGGCAACCUGAUCCAGCCAUGCCGCGUGAGUGAUGAAGGCCUUAGGGUUGUAAAGCUCUUUCACCCGGGACGAUAAUGACGGUACCCGGGAGAAGAAGCCCCGGCUAACUUCGUGCCAGCAGCCGCGUAAUACGAAGGGGGCUAGCGUUGUUCGGAAUCACUGGGCGUAAAGCGCACGUAGGCGGACCGUUAAGUCGGAAGGUGAAAUCCUGGGGCUCAACCCCAGAACUGCCUUCGAUACUGGCGGUCUCGAGUCCGGAAGAGGUGAGUGGAACUGCCAGUGUAGAGGUGAAAUUCGUAGAUAUUGGCAAGAACACCAGUGGCGAAGGCGCUCACUGGUCCGGUACUGACGCUGAGGUGCGAAAGCGU
rnacentral:rRNA from 1 species